rnacentral:lncRNA from 1 species
GGAGGGUCUGCCGGAGAUUGGCAGGGAUGUGUCAGCUGACCGGAGUUCGCCACGAAUGGUUCGUAGCGAACCGUUCGCGGCAAGUUCGCGAACGGUUCGCGACAUCACUAGUCCUCAUGCAGAGUGUGACGUUGUCCAUCAUCAUUUAAUAGUCAGAAUCCAGGAAGUGCCUCUCGUGGCUGACUGAUAGCCACUAGAGGCAGUCUUAGACCUACAAAGUAAUUAUUGCAGUUUCUCUAAAACGGCAAUGUUUUACAUUUCAGGACUAAGGAGGACUGGGACAUUGCACCCAGACCACUUCAAUGAGGUGAAGUGGUCUGGAUGACUAUAGUGUCCAUUUAAUGAGCAUAGGACUAGUUGUACUUUUGUUUAAUGCAGCUCUUACCGAACUUACCAUACCACAGUACCACUACUGUACAAAGUCAGUUGAUAUCUGUAUAAAGUGAAAUUACAGUUAUUGUGCCUAUUCGGUAAGUGCCCAACCCUUGCUUUCACAACUAAAAAUACAGUACUUUUAUUGUUAUUGAAUAUACCACCACAGCAGGGUCAUAUCGCUGGCACAGCUAUGAUGGGGCGGGGGGAGGGAAUCACUGGCACAUGUUUUGGUUGUUGGCCCAGACUAAGAUUAAUACCACAGUGCAAGAUAUUAACUUAAGUACAAAGUUGCUUGAGUAAUCCGGCCAAACUCGUCUGUCUAACGAGAAUAGUCCAAUCAAAGCAAUUCCGGGGAAUCUAGAAUGAUAAAAAUAAUCAAGAUGGCGGUUUACAAUGACUGAGAACACUAAAAGAGAUCUAUAUAUAUGGAGAGAGAUAUAAACGUUGUACUGUAGGCAAUUGGAAAUUUUGAAAAAAAAUAGAUGUAAUAAUUUUACAUACCAAAGUGUCACUUAAUUUUAUAUUUUAUUUUUUUAUCACUGCUAUUGUUGGGUUCUAACUGUAUUAUCAAUUAGUUUUGUUCCUGGCCUACUUAUUGAUAACCUCUUUAUUAUAACUGUUCUAGAAUCUUAUAAAAUGUAUCUAGAAUUAGUCCUGUCUAUGACAUAUUUUAUUUGGCAUUUAGAAAGCGCCAACUUGUUCCGCAGUGCUAAUAUUAUAAAAGGGGAAAUUUAACAAUAAACGAGACAAUUAUAAAAUGUUACAGGAACAAUAGAUUGAUUGAGUGACCCAUCAUAAAGUCUAGCAGAUGUGGGGUAUAAAGACACAAAAGGAAAAGGCAUCGAGAGGGAUAUCAACCAAGUGACAAGAUAGGAAACUGGCAGAACUGGAAGGUGAGAGGGGAGUGUGGUCCUUUGAGAGCUAGAGUCAGGUUUGUGAGAUAGAAGUUACUCUGGGAGAGUCUGAUGAGGGUAGGCAGGCUGUUCCAAAGCAAAGGAGUGGCCUACACAAAGUCCUGCAAACCAUAUAAUGUAUCUCCCUGGGAUAAUAUGUAAAUAUCUAUAAAAUGCUGAAAAUUUUAUUAAGCUGAAAGAUAAAAACAAAGACAAAUGAGUUUGAUUGAGAUAUAGAUCUAUCUCAAUCAAUGAUAUAUCAUAGUAUUGUAUAUCUGGUGAGAAGUAUAUGUAUAUAUUUGAGGCUUCUUCUGUUACAGUAUUAUUUAUUCAUAUUACAUAUGCAAUAUGAGCAUGUACAGCAGUAGCUGAAAUAAUCAUGUAAAACAUAUUAAAUAUUAGCACUUUAAAAAUGACAUUGUAUAAAUUCAGAUUGAACAUUCGAGGGUUUCCUACACUAAAGGUUGACUAACAGUUCGUUAGUAUAUAGUUUCACAUACACAAUUGGAAUGGAUUAAAAGAUAAAGCUUUUAAAUAAAUAAAUGGAUUGGAUUUCAGAGCAUUUGGGAGAUUUUAUAAGAGGUUACAUAUUUUUAAUGUGUUUCAUAUUAUAUUAAAAAAAUAGAUUUUGUAAAAAAUGAGAAAUGGUUUGUUUUCCUUGUUCAACUGUCAGCAGAUAAAUAAUGCUGCCACUAAAUGUUGCCAGUCUGACAGUUUUUGGACCUCAAUUUGGGAAAGUUACUGUGUUGAUGCUACGGAUGCUUGCUAAUUCCUGGUCUGUGAGAGGCAUAGAACAAUUGGGAUCUAAUUAAGGCUCAAAAUUCUAAAUUUGCCGCUGGUGAGUGGAAAUUCCGUAUGCCAUGGACCCUCCGUGGUUGCAGUGGCAACUAACUUUUAGGACCUGGACUUGAAAUGUUAAGCCCUGACCUAAACAAUGAUUUCAUGGUAGAAUGCAUGAGAUUAGGUCAUUUCUCACCCUGAAACUAAGAUUUAUGUUGUCUGUACAUUCCCAGCUAUGCUAACUGUAAUCAAUCAGACAGCCUUGCACGAGAAGGAAUUUUUUAACCUUUACAAAGUCUGGGUGAUUUAACAAAUUAUUGUAUCUUUUGUUCCAUAUUGGGAGUAAGUUGGCUAUUUAAGUGACAAAAGUUUGGAUGCAUUAAAUGAUAAAUUAAAACCAUGUACCUGAGUUAAAUCUGUCUCUCAGAGGCUAGGAUUAGGUUCUUACACCAAAAUAAAUGCCUUGAUGGGAAUGCUAACAAUGUAGCCUCAUUUGGCAUGGUAUUCGCUAACUGAUACUUUAUUUCAGCGUCGAAAGAAUAACAUUUUAACGCAUAUUGUGCACUCCAGCACGUUGCCAUAGGUUUACAAAGUACUUUGCAUAAAAUGCAUUUGACUGCUGGCCAUCUUACUCUGUGCUCCCCUUGCUGUCUUCAGCUUUUUGUUAUACAAAUAAAGUACUGUAUAUGUUGGCUAAUACCUUCUUAUAAGUGAGGCUACAUUAUUGGCAAUCAUUUCUUCGGCUAGUGAAAUGGUUGAGCCCAAGUUAUGCUAAGGGCGCGGAUGGAUAACCAUGGUGGUUAUUCCUGUUUUAUUGCUUGGGAGCCAAAUAUCAUGCAUUCCCAUUUGAGAUGUUGUACCAGAUAUUCAUUAUCUUUAAGUUCAAAAAGGUCUGGAAUGAAUUGCAGACCAAUGUGAUUCUAAACGAAGCAUCAAAGAGCUAUUUUUGCUUGGCAUCAACACUUAAGGUGGACCUGGGAUGUGAAACAAGCUACAUACAUAGCUUACGUUGUCCAUUGCUAAUUUUGUAGACUUACAAUUUUAAUCAACUAAAAUCCACUGGAGAUUUAGUAGACUAAAACUAAAACAAUUAAGAUGACUAAAAGUAAAUGUUCCACGAAAAUUAACACUGGCAUGGUCUAUAAACUGUCAGUUACUGGUUAUAGCUGAACACUGAACUACUUUUUAUUUACCGCACCGAUCACUAGUACUUCUUUCGUUAUAUGCUAUACACAAACCGCAGUAAAUGCAACACAGAGAACCUGUCUCCCAGUUAAAUUCAUGAGAGAUAUUUUAGUGAUACGGCUGAAAAUACCUCUGCUUAUUUGAAUAGCCAUCAUUGUGACUAUACUGUAUCCUUGCAGUCCGCUUGCCAUGAUUUUAGUGGAGGAAGUACUGUUUGUUUGUAACAUUAAGUGUGUAUGUGCUCUUUCAGUGGAGCUCGGCGAUAUGGCUGGGAGUAUCCAACUACUUUCUGAUCAAAGCAGAAACAUGCGAAAAGAAAAUGUUAUAGGGUUUGUACAGAGUUCCCCCUGAAUACAGGGGGAGGGCCAGAUUAGCGAAGAAGCUGUGGAUUUGUAGUUAAGAGAUCUGAAAUUCAAGGUAUCCUUCUAUUAAAUUUUUUUUCUAUUUUGUUUGCAUUCUUGUGCAUUAUCUGUUUGAUUUUUUUUUUAAAGUGAGCAGCUGUCUAACACCACAUAUAUCUGUUUAUGUGAAGUAUUAUUUAGGUUAUAAGUCCACGUUUGAAUUGGUGGAAAAGUUGCCCCACAUAUUAUCUGGUGGAUUUCUACAGGCUGAAACUUGGCCCUGACUGAUCGUUAAAUUCUUAAGAAAAUAUAGUGAAUAUUUAAUAUAACAUUUAGCCAAAGAAACGGACACAUGAACAAAUGGAUUUCUCUGCACAUUUUCUUUCUUUUUGUUUGUUUUUAUGCAAUUGUAAAAUAUGGUUUUAUUUUUGUUUUUCAUUGUUAAUGGUUUUGCAUAAUUAAAACUGCCUGAGAAUACAAGGUAAUUGAUUAUUGUAAAAAAAUGCUUGAUUACUGUGGUUUGACGGCCUUGUUAAUAAAACAAAAGAAAUGUUUAAAUACUUUUGCUUGUCCUUUAUAAAUUAUGAAACAUUCAUUUGUCCCUUC